UAGAGGCUUGGGGGGUGCAGGUGCUCUGCCUUGCAAUGGCAGCUCUGUAGAGGCCUGUGUGCUGUGAGGGGAAGGCCCCAGUGAGGAGGUCCUGCCUGUGAGGGGAUCUGUGUGAGCUAGACAUUGCUUACCAAUGCUUCCCCACAUGGGCACGUCCAUCCUGAGCUGUGUGUGGGUGCUGCAGCCCUGUCAUGAGGCAGCCAGACACCCCAGGCUGGAUAAAUACCACCCUUGCCUUUCCUCUGUCCCUUAUUCUACCGCCCAGCUUUGUGAGCACGUUCUUGCCCAGGCAGUGCAUCCACUGGUCACAGUUUUAUUAAGCGUGUUUGACUAUUGUUCCAGCAGAAUCUUUUUAUGGUUGUAUGUGUUCAUUGUGAUGCCAGCUGAGUCUACAAGUCCCAGCAUCUUUUCUUGUUUCAUACUGUAGCAAAAACUUGAAAGAGGCUCCUAAUGGAGCUCCCAGGGCAGGGAGUCUCAUCCUGCUGCCUCGCCGUGGGGUGGGCUGAGGCAAAGGCAGCCAUGACCUCAAUUCUGCUGACACAAGCCAGCUCUGUGACACACAAAUGGCUUGUACACAUCCUGGAAUCUGCGCCUGGAUAACAAUAAUCCAAUCCUGUGGCUGGGUCAGAGGUGCUGGAAGGAGUCCAGGAGCACUUGGAGCAGCCCCAGAGAGCCUGGGAGGAGUCCCAGAGCAUCAGGAGUGACCUGAGAAGGUCCUGGGAAAGGCCUGGGUCAGCCUCAGAGGUAUCCAGGGAGACACACACGGCUCAUCCUUCACAUCCGCAGCCGGAAUGCAGGAGGUUUAUGCAGUUCCCUUUGAGAUAGCUGAGUAAUGCAGAGGCAUUAGGGUCUCGAUUUAUCCCACUAAUUACCGGCAUUGAUUGAAUAGUGUUCACACUGGAAUGAGUGGAAAGGGAUGGCUUGGCUGUGAGCAGUCCUCUGACAACACCUUUCUGUUCUCUGUGAUGGUGUUUGAGGUGACCAAUUCGAAAAACUGCAGCAUCAUUUAGGUAUCAAAGGCAGCCAGGAUGAAUCUGGAUAAGACUUGCUCAGGAUUUCACACCAGGCUGUGCUAAUCAGUGAAGACAGCUUUUCCUGCAGGAUGCGAUGCCAUCUCUUCCAAGUAAUGUACAAAAGGAAUCCUGGCUUCUUUCUGAUUAAAACCAGGGAAUGUA